GCCUACCCAUGGCAUAGAUCAAUGGGUUAGUGCAUCCAGCUGUCAACCAGAAGGUUGGUUGUUCGAGCCCACCUUGGGGCG